rnacentral:lncRNA from 1 species
GCCCGGCUUUUACAGGUUAUUUUUUGAAGAAGAGUUUUAAAGCACUGACUUUGAAUUGCCAAACAAACAUGUGUGAAAAAGAAGAUGACAUAAACCUUAAAAAGAGCCUGAAACUACAUUGUAGAAUAUGGGUGAAAUACAAAACAAGUCUUGAAACAGAAAAAAAUGACAACUUAUGUUCUCCAGUAUUAUAGUGUGAAGUACUUGACAAUGUCUUAGGUCAAAAGUACAUAAUUAUAUUUGGUUAGAAAGAGGCUAAUGCUGAGUGCUAUGUAUCAUGUUGAAUGCUCAAAGUGGUUAUCUGGUUUUUUCAGAAGAUAGAUUCUAAAAGAGUCCUUUAAGCUUAACAAGUAGAACAUUGAAAAAAAAAGUACAAGGCUAGUCAUUAUAAUAUUUUCAAAUCAUGCCAACUUUCAAAAAUAGUUAUAUGUUAUUUAUUCUUUGACCAUUUUCUUUGACAAUUCUAUACUUGUAAACUACAUUCUUGAGCAUAUCCACACCCGGCUCCUCUUGUCUCUGCAUUGAGGCCAGUUUGUGCUGCAUUCUGGAAUGAUGAUUGGUCUUUUGAUCAUGUGGGUCUUGUUCAGAUAACUAUAGUUGCAGUGAUAUCCUAGAGCAAUGCCCAUGUCCUAUCCAGAAGACAGUAGUUUGUUGCACUUCUCCCUAUCCUGCAGCUCUUACAUAUUUUCUGUUCACUUCUCAGUGUUCCCUGAGCCUUGUAGUAGAGAGGCUCUCCACACCUCUUCAGUUCCAGGUUAAAGAGAAUCUGAACACAGAUGACCCUAACUUACAGAACUGAGUGACUGCCACAAAAGACAGAUACUACAUGCUUUAUAAACUAGUUGCUGGAAGCUACUAAAUAUGGCAGCAGUGUCCUAUAACAAAAAACAAACCUAAAGAAAGGAGAGACUCCAAUCUCUAGGGCUGCCACAUUAUGUUAAAAUUAAAAUGUUCAGUUACAACAAAGUAUGCGACAUGUAAAGGAAGCAGAGCUGAUUCACAAAAACAGAUGAAAUAACAAUGUCUAUGAAGAAGCACAGUAUUAAACUUAGUAGCCAAGACUAUCAAGUGCUUAAAUAUGCUUAAUUAGUCAAAUUACAAGGAAAUCAGAAUAAUAAUGUAUACUGCAAAUGGAGAAUAUCAGCAAAGAGAAAGAACAAUUUAAUGCAGUAGCCAAAAUAAUCUUGAGCAGAAUAAGCAAAGUUGGAGAAACCGUGAAAACUGACUUCAGAUUCUACUGUUAAGUCAUAGCAGCAAAAACAAGAUGUAACGUGACAAAAGAACAAACAUGUAGAUCACUGGAAUAGGAUAGCGGACUCCGAAGUGUACUCAUGCAUCCACUGCCACUUGAGUCUGACAAAGAUACUGAAAAUUCAUUGAAGGAAAAAGAGGGAAGAAUGAACCAAAAACAAUGAACAAACAUCCAUGCUCCAAAUAUCUUGAGCUAAGUGGUGUUGAGUAAAGUUGAUGUUCAUAUAUAAUAUCUCAGUCUGUGCAAGAAUCAAUCCAAAACAAUUCAGGGACUUAAUGUAAAAUCUGAAACUGCUAGAGGCAAACACUUGAAGUUGUAGAUAUAUAGGUAAAGACUCCAUGAAAAGAGUUUCAGUAGGUGAGGAAGUAAUAGCAAGACUUGACAAGAAUGGUUGCAUGAUAUUUAAAAAAACCUCCUACAUAGCUCUGCAUACAAUUCUCAGUAAAGUGACACUUUACAGAACAAGAAAACAUGGUCCCCUAUACCAAUGACAGGUGAUUAAUAUUUAGAAUAUAUAGAAGUCCAGAAGUUAAAUAUCAAAGACAAGUCUCAAUCAAUAACUAGGCCAUUGAACCCAUAAUUCUCG